rnacentral:tRNA from 1 species
GAGGGUAUAGCUCAAAUGGUAGAGUGCAUGCUUAGCACGCAUGAGGUCCUAGGUUCAAUCCCCAGUACCUCCA